AGGUGGGAGGAUCGCUUGAACUUGGGAGAUGGAGGUUGCAGUGAGCUGAGAUCAUGCCACUGCACUCCAGCCUGGG
rnacentral:miRNA from 1 species